UCCACGCUGCAUAUGUGGAUGCAGUUUCAAAUCCAUUCCAUGUGCCAGGCAAAAAGAUUACAUCCAAAACUUUUGCAGAAAGAGUAAGCAACAUUGUCAAGUCAUUUGGUUUGAGCUCAGCUGGCUGAAUGUUGCUAUUGUAAACUUAAACCUGGCACAUGGAAUGGAUUUGAAACUGCAUCCACAUAUGCUUCUUGACUCAUUUUCUUCUUCAUCUACGACAUGAACAGAUGCUGUAUCAUUUUAAAAACUUGGGAUCUGAGUUUUACCAAAGAUAGAACAAGUGAUUUAUACUUCAUAAACGGAUAUGAUUCUUAUAAAAAAAAAAAUAACAUUCACCAAUUUCAUAAUG
rnacentral:misc_RNA from 1 species